GCCUCAGUCCAGCCUGGUAUGCGAGCCGUUCGCGACGCUAUUAUUCGUCUUUUUUUUAGUCGCGACGACGAAACUUACUAAUACGCCGUCGAACAUGCUCCGCCGUUGCGAACUCGCCAACGCAUGUCACAUCCGUCGUACCCCAUUCCGUUGUUCGCGUUUAUUUUAUACACACAACUACGAACGUGAUACGUGUGUUAUCUAUACUAUAUACUUUGCCGUUUUGCACGUGCCUUUUCGGGCCACUCCACGUCAUCUUCAUCAUCCAUCAGCCCACAGCAACAGUGCACACAUUUAUUCCGUUCCCGUCAAGCCACCAGUACGAGUCCGAGAGGACCCACCAUGGAUGGAUGGAGUAUGUCAAGAUCCAGAGAAACUAGAAGUAAUGGAUAGGAAAUUAAGCAGGAUCAUUGGAAGGUUGAUGACAAGUGGCAGCCAAAGUUCUUACAAAUUUUCGAGGAUACAUGAUGACGAUGAAUUGUCCAUAAGAUUAAUUACCAUUAAUAGUUGGUCUUAAUUGUAUUAAUAAUCUAACGGCUAAACAAGAGUUUUUAUUGUUGGUGGGUGUCAUAUCAGUAUUGUCAUUCGAGUUGACCACAAGCCGCUGGUAGAUAUGAAAAUAACAAUAGGACCCACAAGUCACCAGAGUGUGUGUCCUAUUUGUUCUUGUGAGUAACCAAGCACCAGACAAGCUAAAAAACGGUUUAUGUUGACAAACAUAUUCUCGAACAUCACAAAGUCAAAAAUGGUCAUCUCUCAAUUAUACAAGACAGAAAACGAUUAUUUUGGAAUAAAAUUGGUCAGAUCACGAAUGGUCGGCAGGUAAUGUCUCGAGGUUUAAGUUUUUACCUUAGAGUAACAGCUUGAACAUUAAUUUUCCUUGUACGCAAACGUACCUUUAUUGCGGUAUCACGGCACAACAUUUUAGGCUAUUAAAUUGAUUUAUUAUAAUAUUUUCCUCUCGACAUAAAAGUUUGCUGAAAACAAGAACCUUUUCCGCUCGAUUCUUACU